rnacentral:misc_RNA from 1 species
AAAAAAAAAAAAAACUGAAAAGGUUGCAAAGGGCAACUCUUAUGACAAAAUAAAAAUCCAUGGACAGUGUGAGAGGCGGGGUUCCAUUCUGAUAUUUAUUUUGUGUGAACUGGAGAAAUUAGUUCGUAUCACAUGUAAAUGUAAAUCUCAUUGCAAAAUGUUGAUACUAUAAAGGUUGAGAUAACUUGCUAAUUGACAUUAUGUAGUUUUUUGUUAUGUGGCAGUAUUUUCCCUGGAUCUGAUUUCUCACUUUUAUGAUAUUGAUAUGUUUCUAUUAAUUUGUGCAAAAUGUGUUUUCUCUUAUUUUUGUUUUCUUAUUUUUU